GGCAGCAGCCGCGGUAACACCGGCGGCCCGAGUGGUGAUCGUGAUUAUUGGGUCUAAAGGGUCCGUAGCCGGUUUGGCCAGUCCUCCGGGAAAUCUGAUAGCUCAACUAUUAGGCUUCCGGGGGAUACUGCCAGACUUGGAACCGGGAGAGGUAAGAGGUACUACAGGGGUAGGAGUGAAAUCUUGUAAUCCCUGUAGGACCACCUGUGGCGAAGGCGUCUUACCAGAACGGGUUCGACGGUGAGGGACGAAAGCUGGGGCACGAACCGGAUUAGAUACCCGGGUAGUCCCAGCCGUAAACGAUGCUCGCUAGGUGUCAGGCAUGGCGCGACCGUGUCUGGUGCCGCAGGGAAGCCGUGAAGCGAGCCACCUGGGAAGUACGGCCGCAAGGCUGAAACUUAAAGGAAUUGGCGGGGGAGCACAACAACGGGGUGGAGCCUGCGGUUUAAUUGGACUCAACGCCGGACAACUCACCGGGGGCGACAGCAAUAUGUAGGCCAAGCUGAAGACUUUGCCUGAAUCGCUGAGAGGAGGUGCAUGG
rnacentral:rRNA from 1 species